rnacentral:rRNA from 1 species
GAUGAACGCUGGCGGCGUGCCUCCCUUUGCAAGUCGAACGCGCAGCGAAAGGUGCUUGCACCUUUCAAGCGAGUGGCGAACGGGUGAGUAACACGUGGAUAACCUGCCUCAAGGCUGGGGAUAACAUUUGGAAACAGAUGCUAAUACCGAAUAAAACUUAGUAUCGCAUGAUACAAAGUUAAAAGGCGCUACGGCGUCCCCUAAAGAUGGAUCCGCGGUGCAUUAGUUAGUUGGGGGGGUAAAGGCUCACCAAGGCAAUGAUACAUAGCCAACCUGAGAGGGUGAUCGGCCACAUUGGGACUGAAACACGGCCCAAACUCCUACGGGAGGCAGCAGUAGGGAAUCUUCGGCAAUGGACAAAAGUCUGACCGACCAACGCCGCGUGAGUGAAGAAGGUUUUCGGAUCGUAAAACUCUGUUGGUAGAAAAAAACGUUGGUGAGAGUGGAAAGCUCAUCAAGUGACGGUAACUACCCAAAAAGGGACGGCUAACUACGUG